AGCGAACGCUGGCGGCAGGCUUAACACAUGCAAGUCGAGCGGGCGUAGCAAUACGUCAGCGGCAGACGGGUGAGUAACGCGUGGGAACGUACCUUUUGGUUCGGAACAACACAGGGAAACUUGUGCUAAUACCGGAUAAGCCCUUACGGGGAAAGAUUUAUCGCCGAAAGAUCGGCCCGCGUCUGAUUAGCUAGUUGGUGAGGUAACGGCUCACCAAGGCGACGAUCAGUAGCUGGUCUGAGAGGAUGAUCAGCCACAUUGGGACUGAGACACGGCCCAAACUCCUACGGGAGGCAGCAGUGGGGAAUAUUGGACAAUGGGGGCAACCCUGAUCCAGCCAUGCCGCGUGAGUGAUGAAGGCCCUAGGGUUGUAAAGCUCUUUCAGAUGGGAAGAUAAUGACGGUACCAUCAGAAGAAGCCCCGGCUAACUCCGUG
rnacentral:rRNA from 1 species